rnacentral:lncRNA from 1 species
GAUAAAGUGUGACACAGCUCUGGCAGCAGGCUUCUCCAGCAGGCUAUGUGUGUGCUGAGGAGUAGGAGAUGAGUGGAGAGGAACCAGUGGGGGGGUUCUGAUCAGCAGUCUGGGGCUCCCCUGCUGAGGGGCUCUGGAAUUAGGCCUAAACUCUGCCCUGCCAGAUGGCACCAGCACCACAUCAGCCCCACCACCACCCACCUUAGACGUCAGGGCCAGGCUGAGCCCUGCUCCCCCUGGCCUGCACUGGGCCCUGAGGACCAGACACUAGGGAGAUGGGACCCCUGGGGGAGCUCAGAGGGUAUGGUUCUCCUCAACACAGGGAGUUGACCUGGAGGUUAGGAUCCUCAUCAUCACAACCAGGAGGGACUUGACUUCAGUGACUCCUAGAUGCUUCUGAAACUACCCCAAUAACCUGUCGCAGAUUGUUCACUCCACUCACCAAGGAGUUAAUAAAUCAAAGACCAACACAAGCACUUCAAUUCAUCUGUUUUAUUCAUCUGUGAAACAACAAUCUUUUCUUAUGAGUGAAUAAGGCAUUAUCCCUACUGCCCUGAAGCAGCAGCCCAUGGUUGAAGUACAGCUAUGCUUGGUGAGAGGAAAUGGAUUUUCUGUUGAAGGUUAUAAUGGAGAAAACGGCACCUGCCUGCUAGGCUUGCUGCACUUCCUGUGCCCCUUUUUGUUUCAUGUUGGUUUUGUAUUUGUGAUUUCAAUUAGCAGGGUUUUCAAAGUAAAAUAAUUGAAAUGGAGUAACUGAUAAGUGGAGGCAAAGUAUGGAUAACUCAAUGAAUUGAU